UACCUGCCCCCCUGCAGAACAGUUUAGGGUACGAAGAAGCACCAGCCAUGUGUCCCACAGAAUCCAAAUUAAGCCUUCUCUUUGUACACAUAAUUUCAAUAUGAUUGUGGAAAUUUCAGUCGAGCACUGGCUUAGCAGAAAACCACAGAAGCACAGCCAAACUUGUGUUGCCAUAGUGAUACAGUACACAGGGCAGGGCCUGUGGUGUGUGGGAGACUGUAGUUAGGCCAGCUCCUGGAAUGGCAGCUUCAGAGUCAGGAGACGCUGGCAGUUUGAUUUAGUGUGAUCAAAGAUUGUUUAGAAGCCUAGGAAGUGAAGGGAUAUGAAAGAGCCAGCAUGUUUAUGUUUGAGGUAAUUAGAGCUUCCUAUGAGCUUAUAAGUCUGAAGUGAUAAUAAGUGAUGAU
rnacentral:lncRNA from 1 species